rnacentral:rRNA from 1 species
AUGGAUAUGGUUCAGUCUGUAUCAUUUUCAGUCCUCUUCAAUGGAGAGAAGCUUGAACAUUUUACUCCUACCAGAGGCAUCCGUCAGGGAGAUCCAAUCUCCCCGUAUCUUUUCUUGAUUGCAGCAGAGGGCCUUUCGUGCCUUUUAAGAUCCAGUUCUCUUUCGUCUAGUCUUCAAGGGGUCAAGGUGGCUCCGACAGCUCCGGCGGUCAACCAUCUCCUGUUUGCUGACGAUAGCCUGCUGUUUUUCAAGUCAAGUGUUGAGGGGGCUGCGAGGGUCUCAGUUUUAUUGGAGAUAUACUGUAAAGCGUCGGGUCAGAAGACAAACAAUGCAAAAUCUUCAAUCUUUUUCAGCAAGAAGUGCCCAAAUGAGGUGAGAAAUGAGGUCAAACAGAUUUUGAAUGUAACAAAUGAAUCUUUGAGUGAAAGAUACUUGGGGAUGCCCACGGAAGUUGGCCAAUCUAAAAAGGGUACUUUCAAGUAUUUGAGAGAUAGAAUUUGGGAGAAGGUGAGAGGAUGGAUGGAAAAACUUCUUUCAGUUGGAGGGAAAGAAGUGCUCAUCAAAUCAGUGGCUCAAGCAAUCCCAGUAUUUUCAAUGGCGUGCUUUCGGUUACCCAGAGGCCUUUGUGAAAAUAUUGAAUCCAUUAUAAGGCAGUUCUGGUGGGGGAGCAAGCAAGGAAGGAGGAAGCCCGCAUGGGUAUCUUGGGACGUC